rnacentral:piRNA from 1 species
UGCUUACUGCUUUGGAAAAUCCCAUAAAAU